rnacentral:miRNA from 3 species
UAGCCAAGGAUGACUUGCCUGC